GUUAACAUGUUUAUAUUGUGUUAAUGCAUGACAUUUAUUAUCAGGUUACAUUUUUUGGGGGGGAACACCAUUAAUCAAUUUAUUUUCCUCUAGGAACCUUUUUAAAGCACACGUUUCCUGCAAGGAACCUUUUCAAGCAAACGUUUCCGCUAGGAACCUUUUAAAGCACACGUUUCCGCAAGGACCCUUUUAAAGGCAGAACACAACACCGCUACAGUCAAUGUUUGUGCCUUUACAUUGAACUCCUUUACAUCGCUGAAGACCGUGUGUCUCUAGCACAAAUCAUGUCAAAGUUAUGGCCAAUAUUACCGGAGCGAUGUUCUUUCUUCCUGCCGUGGAUUUGUGCGCCAGUCGCGGGGACGCUUUCAACUACUCACGAACAAUCCAUUUUUGGGGGGGGGGGUUGAUAACAAACGACAUUGUUUAGUUAGCAAGUCAUGUUACCUAGCCUGAUAUAACUGACCACUGACUAGGCUAUGCACAAAUUUGGAUGGCACAGGAAGAACAUGAAAAAGAAUGGGCUUCUCGAAGAGAAGCUUGUAACGUCUGCUUCCCAACUCAAACUCUCAAAAAAACGUAGAUCCCCCUGAACGCAGCUCACUCUCCAGAUCCCCGACACCUGUAUUCUGAUCACCUGUUCACACACCUCCUAUCGGAUUUCCUGUUAUCAACCUGUUGCCUGAUCACCCGGACAACGUUAAUAUAGGACAGACACUUCAUAACAAAACUUCCUUUACAUUUUUUGGGGUGGGUCUAUCUGUUAUCCAUGUAGUAAAUCUGCGUUUCUACUGGCUAAUAUCAAUAAUGCCAUAUUCAAUGUUUCAUCAAAUAAUGUUUUUUUUUUAAUUAUAACUUCUUAUACCUUCUAGGGUCUUAAAAAGCUAAAUCAACUAGCUAAAUGGUCCUUGGUAUGACCAUGUUAAAAACAACUCCAUAAUAUGUCAGCUUAGAAAAACCUUUCUUUGGGGCCAAAUUUGAGGGGGGAAAAAGGGGGGGGGAAAAAUAAUAAUUGAAUUGAAAUGUCGCUCUGGAUAAGUGUGUCUGCUAAAUGACUAAAAUGUAAAAAUGUAUUAACUAAUGCCAUUAACUCGAUUCAUUAUUUAAAUAGUUUGACGACAGCUCUAAUAUAUAUAGUUCCUUCAGAAAGUAUUCACACCCCUCGACAUAUUCACAUUUUUAUUAUGUUACAACCUUGAAUUUUCCAAAAUGGAUUAAAUAAAUAAAAUAAAAAAAUAAUCUCACCCAUCUACACACAAUAACCCAUAAUGACAAAAGUGAAAACAUUACACGGGUGAUAUUCUCCUGGCCGUAAAGGGUUAACGAGGUAUUAAAACACCUGAAAUUACACAGACCAUACAGCCAUACAGGAAGAGUCAGACAGACAGACAGACAGACAGACAGACAGACAGACAGACAGACAGACAGACAGACAGACAGACAGACAGACAGACAGACAGACAGACUGCUAGCCAGCCAGCCAUACAGGAAGAGUCUGAUACACAAUACCAGUCUGAUAGUUAUUUCCCUGGUGGUUAUAAUGGGACUUGGUGUAACAGUUAGCCUGGUGUGACAGACAGACAGACAGACAGACAGACAGACAGACUGCUAGCCAGACAGACAGACUGACAGACUGCUAGACAGACAGACAGACAGGCAGGCAGGCAGACAGACAGACAGACUGCUAGCCAGCCAGACAGGCAGGCAGAAGGACAGACAGGCAGACAGACAGACUGCUAGCCAGCCAGCCAGACAGACAGACAGACAGACAGACGGACGGACGGACGGACGGGCGGACGGGCGGGCGGGCGGACGGACGGGGUUGGAGGUGAGAGAGUUCUCUAACGGAACAUCAUUAUUAAGUCUGUAAUAGUAUAAUAAUAAUAAUACUCAUUAAAGUGGAACCGACCAAGUGUUUUAACUACUUUGCAGAUAUGAAAUAAAUAGACAAUCACAAUAUCAGUAAAAAAAAACAAAAUAAAUCCCAGUUUACGCUAUAAAAACCAACUUUAUAACAUUCCAUGAUGUAGAGUAAGGCAUUGUUGGCAGAACAGAUGAAUGCAGUUCAAAUGCAUGAUUAAUAGAAUUCACCAAUACAUUUCUUGGUCGUUCCCAAAAAACAUAUUGCUAUCAGGUUGUAAAUCAACAGCUGGCCUGCUACAUUGUUUGCUGCCUUCCCAUUCGGGAUGCAUUGUUUCAGUUUCAAUGAAACCAAAAAACAUACUUAAGUUAUAAAGGCUGGGAAUGUCAAUACAAUCAAACUAGCAAAGGGCAACGAUCACAAGUCAGUGUUAACGUGGCUAAUAGGCUAACGUAUCUAUUUAUGUAGAAAGCUAAAAACACAGAGGCUAACGUUAGCUAGCUAGCUGUUAGGAGGAUGUCAUGUCAGUGGAGGAGAGGGUGAGUGACUGACUGUUUCCCCCUCAUAUUGUUUUUCGGUGGCUACACACAGCUAGAGAAUGCAGGUGUAAUUUCGUUAGCUAGCAAGAAAUGUGAAUCGCUUCGCUAGCUAGCUAUGUUGAAGUUGAACGACUGCUUAUCGAGUUAGCAUAUCUCUUGCGUUUCGCAAAUUUACUCUUGUCUAUCUACUCUGAUUUCAGAGCACUCUCGUCUGAGUGUGCCAGAGCGCAGAAUAACUGAUGAAUUUACCAAUAACUAAUUUACGAACGCGCAAAACCCACUGAAUAUGACCGGGGUCGGUAAACGUCGGCAAAAAAAAGUCAUAAUUAGUCAAGGACGUUCUAGAUAACAUGUAAACAGCUUAACCAGCUCUGCUAGGGAGAGUAAAACGGUCACACUGAGGUGUUCUCUCAUUCGUUCUCCGGAAAUAGAUAGCUAACAAGCUAGCCAACUUUUGCCAGUUAGCUUGGGUGCUUGGUUGGGACAAGCAUGCAUUGGCAGGCAAGCUGCAGAAGGCUAGCAUUAGUUCUUCAUCUGGCUAGCAUUAGUUAUUGAUCUGGCUAGCAUUAGUUGUUGAUCUGGCUAGCAUUAGUUGUUGAUCUGGCUAGCAUUAGUUGUUGAUCUGGCUAGCAUUAGUUAUUGAUCUGGCUAGCAUUAGUUGUUGAUCUGGCUAGCAUUAGUUGUUGAUCUGGCUAGCAUUAGUUGUUGAUCUGGCUAGCAUUAGUUAUUGAUCUGGCUAGCAUUAGUUGUUGAUCUGGCUAGCAUUAGUUGUUGAUCUGGCUAGCAUUAGUUGUUGAUCUGGCUAGCAUUAGUUGUUGAUCUGGAUAGCAUUAGUUGUUGAUCUGGCUAGCAUUAGUUGUUGAUCUGGAUAGCAUUAGUUAUUCAUCUGGCUAGCAUUAGUUGUUGAUCUGGCUAGCAUUAGUUGUUGAUCUGGCUAGCAUUAGUUGUUGAUCUGGCUAGCAUUAGUUGUUGAUCUGGAUAACAUUAGUUAUUCAUCUGGCUAGCAUUAGUUGUUGAUCUGGCUAGCAUUAGUUGUUGAUCUGGCUAGCAUUAGUUGUUGAUCUGGCUAGCAUUAGUUGUUGAUCUGGCUAGCAUUAGUUGUUGAUCUGGCUAGCAUUAGUUGUUGAUCUGGCUAGCAUUAGUUGUUGAUCUGGCUAGCAUUAGUUAUUGAUCUGGCUAGCAUUAGUUGUUCAUCUGGCUAGCAUUAGUUGUUGAUCUGGCUAGCAUUAGUUGUUGAUCUGGCUAGCAUUAGUUGUUGAUCUGGAUAGCAUUAGUUAUUGAUCUGGCUAGCAUUAGUUAUUCAUCUGGCUAGCAUUAGUUGUUGAUCUGGCUAGCAUUAGUUGUUGAUCUGGCUAGCAUUAGUUGUUGAUCUGGCUAGCAUUAGUUGUUGAUCUGGCUAGCAUUAGUUGUUGAUCUGGCUAGCAUUAGUUGUUGAUCUGGCUAGCAUUAGUUGUUGAUCUGGCUAGCAUUAGUUGUUGAUCUGGCUAGCAUUAGUUAUUGAUCUGGCUAGCAUUAGUUAUUGAUCUUGUUGUUGAUGUGUAUAACAGAGAGAGAGAGUCUACCUUUUCAUGGUUAUUGAUGUGUAUAACUGAGAGAGAGUCUGCCUUUUCAUGGUUAUUGAUGUGUAUAACUGAGGGAGAGAGAGUCUACCUUUUCAUGGUUAUUGAUGUGUAUAACUGAGAGAGAGUCUACCUUUUCAUGGUUAUUGAUGUGUAUAACAGAGAGAGAGAGAGAGAGUCUACCUUUUCAUGGUUAUUGAUGUGUAUAACUGAGAGAGAGUCUACCUUUUCAUGGUUAUUGAUGUGUAUAACUGAGGGAGAGAGUCUACCUUUUCAUGGUUAUUGAUGUGUAUAACUGAGAGAGAGUCUACCUUUUCAUGGUUAUUGAUGUGUAUAACUGAGAGAGAGAGUCUACCUUUUCAUGGUUAUUGAUGUGUAUAACUGAGAGAGAGAGAGAGAGUCUACCUUUUCAUGGUUGUUGAUGUGUAUAACUGAGAGAGAGUCUACCUUUUCAUGGUUAUUGAUGUGUAUAACUGAGGAGAGAGAGAGAGUCUACCUUUUCAUGGUUAUUGAUGUGUAUAACUGAGAGAGAGAGUCUACCUUUUCAUGGUUAUUGAUGUGUAUAACUGAGAGAGAGAGAGAGUCUACCUUUUCAUGGUUGUUGAUGUGUAUAACUGAGAGAGAGAGAGUCUACCUUUUCAUGGUUAUUGAUGUGUAUAACUGAGAGAGAGAGUCUACCUUUUCAUGGUUGUUUGACCAAUAGGACUGGCAAGUUCCCAAACGUAAGAGGACUCUCCCGUGGUAUUUACAUAUUUGCAGAAAUCCAUUCAGGUGUGUAUUUUGUGGCUUUUGCCGAAUGCAUUCUAAUGUCUCGCUGUUGCAAAUACCUGUAAACACACAGUCCAGUUCAAAGUGAAUGAUGGCAGGCCCGUGUGGCAAAUGGCUUUGUUUGCAUAUAGGUCCUACCGUACCUCUGAUUGGCUAAAAGGCCCACCAAUCUGCGUAGACUCCGGUCCUGGACGAGACAGAUGUUUUUAUUAGGUUUUAUGUACUGCAGUGUCUGUUAAUUGUCCAAACGCACAGCCGCUUUCCCACUCUAUAUAUUACUACAGAAUUUUCACAAAAUGCCUUCCUAUAUACGCAAUUCCCUAAACAUUCUACGAAUGUAUUAAAAAUGUUAAAAAGACAAUAUCUAAGCGCUCGCUUGUCAGAAAAUGUGAAGAAAAAAAAAGAAAAAAACACAUAGCAUAUUCUUCCUGGGGGUGAAUAUGAACAGAUUUUAAUAAGAUUUAAUGUUGCUAAAAUGUUGUCA
rnacentral:lncRNA from 1 species